rnacentral:tRNA from 1 species
UGGGGUUUGGCUCAGUGGUAGAGCACUCGCCUAGCACAUGUGAGGCCCUGGGUUUGAUCCUCAGCACCACAU